UGAGGAAUAUUGGUCAAUGGGCGGAAGCCUGAACCAGCCAUGCCGCGUGCAGGACGACGGCCCUACGGGUUGUAAACUGCUUUUCCGGGGGAAGAAUAACCCCCCUGCGGGGGGGGAUGCCGGUACCCCGGGAAUAAGGAUCGGCUAACUCCGUGCCAGCAGCCGCGGUAAUACGGAGGAUCCUAGCGUUAUCCGGAUUUACUGGGUUUAAAGGGUGCGUAGGCGGGCGUUUAAGUCCGCGGUGAAAGUCUGCGGCUCAACCGUAGGAUUGCCGUGGAUACUGGACGUCUUGGAUUCGGUCGGGGUCGGCGGAAUGCGUGGUGUAGCGGUGAAAUGCAUAGAUAUCACGCAGAACGCCGAUAGCGAAGGCAGCUCGCCGGCCGAAAUCGACGCUGAGGC
rnacentral:rRNA from 1 species